rnacentral:ncRNA from 1 species
AAUCCUCGCGCCGUUCGAGGUGCUCCAGCCUCAAGUUCGAGGCCGGAGUUAAAAGGGAAUACGGAAAAGGCGUUUCGCCUCAGCCGUAGCUGCUCCCGCAACUGUAUGCGCCGAGAUUGAACUCACAUGCCACUGGGUGAGACACCUGGGAAGGCGAGCCAAUCGAUGACGCGCAAGCCAGGAAACCUGCCUCGGAACGUCACCUACC